rnacentral:rRNA from 1 species
AAAGAUAUCUGGUUGAUCCUGCCUGAACUGA